GGAAUUGACGGGGGCCCGCACAAGCAGCGGAGCGUGUUGCUUAAUUCGAUGCAACGCGAAGAACCUUAUCCUGGGUUUGACAUGUACGGAUUAACCCUGUGAAAGCAGGGCCACGCUCGCAAGAGUGGAACGUGCACAGGUGCUGCAUGGCUGUCGUCAGCUCGUGUCGUGAGAUGUCGCGUUAAGUCGCUAAACGAGCGAAACCCCUAUCUUUAGUUGCCAGCGCGUCAUGGCGGGGACUCUAAAGAGACUGCCGGUGUCAAACCGGGGGAAGGCGGGGAUGACGUCAAGUCCUCAUGGCCUUUAUGCCCAGGGCUGCACACGUGCUACAAUGGGGCGUACAAAGCGCCGCGAAGUUGCGAAACCAAGCUAAUCGCAAAAAGCGUCCCCCAGUUCGGAUUGAAGGCUGCAAUUCGCCUUCAUGAAGCCGGAAUCGCUAGUAAUCGCCGAUCAGCAUUGCGGCGGUGAAUGUGUUCCUGAGCCUU
rnacentral:rRNA from 1 species